CAACAGCUGAAAAAGGCUGCCCUGCUUGGGAGCUUCCUGAAAAAAUCAUUCUCACCAGAAUACACCACUGGAAGCAUAACAGCUCACAGUGGAUUACCUCAAAAUCCGGAAAUGAGAAGAGGAAAACGCGUCCAAGCUCGCUUUCCUUGCAACAGCCUCGCGCAACCUUAACUUACGGACGUAGCGCGCCUGCCAUGUUUAAACCCACUGUCUGGGCCCAGGCCUUCCGGAGCAUGCUCUGUGAGCCGGUGAAGCUAAAAAGAAUGAGGGCAGCUCGGCUGCUGGGUCGCGCGUGCUCAGUGGCGUUCUGAAGUCCCAACUGCUUCGGAGCAGAGCCGUUAAGUAACUGCGCGUGCAGGCAAGGACUGAGGUGAUUUCAGAACUGGUUUUGCGUUUCUUUUCGUUCGUUAAAACAUGCAAAAUGUAGUUAUCGACGUAUUCGAUAGUUAAAAAAAUAAAUUUUCAGAACUAACUUUGUUUAAAAGUUAGUGUGUGGAUGAAAGGGAGUAACAGAUUUGAAAUAGACUCUAUAAUAUUCCACGUAUAUGAAAUACUGGUUACUUAAUAACGGGUGAAUUACGUGUAAAUUCUCUUUUAAAUGUAGUUUCAUCUCUGGCAACCUGUGAUUUGUAGAUUAUGUGUUGGGUACAUUGUUGUGGCAAGUGCCCAAUUUGUGCAGCAUAGACCCACAUUCCUUCUGCGAUUGUAGGAGAAGUGUGUGGUAAGCUCCAAAUCAGGAGUUUGAUUAAAGGGCAAAGGCAUAAACUUUUAAAUUGUCUGCUUUCUAAUAAAAUGUGCUAGUCUGAAAAGUUACUACCAAACUUCUAAUAAUAAUCCUUCCAAGAAGAAUUAGGCAUUCAUCUGAUUCAUUCUUUCCUACAGCCAGCAAAACAGCAAAAUCCCAGAUCCUUCUCAGAAUGUAAAAAAGAGAAAAGAUUGAAUUGGCACAUUG